rnacentral:misc_RNA from 1 species
GUGAAUCAUCGAAUUUUUGAACGCAAAUUGCACUCCCUGGUAUUCCGGGGAGUAUGCCUGUUUGAGAGUCGUUAAAUUCAACAAUCGAUGUGUCGCUCUUUUUUUUAAGGGUGAUCGCGUCUGAAUUGCGCCGUCUUUCAAAUGUUAAUUUUUGUCAAAGUGGCUUGAAAUUCAUUCAUCCAUUA